ACGAACGAGGUUGGUGCAGUGGUCGCGCAGGUUCAAGCACUGCCAAAGGUGCCGGUGUGUCGACGAAGAUCGUCCCGCGCCGUCGACCGGAGGCGGUGCCGUACUCCUCGUGACCAUUGACCAGCAGCGGUUGGGCCGGAGCCAUAAGGCAGCAGUGGAAGGUGAGUCGGUGCGAGCCUGUCUUGCAUUGACAGCUUAUAGCCCUGUCUGUACGGUGCUCCGGCGUGACCGAGGAAGCUGGGCAGCCCUUGCCCAUUGUGGUGCACGCCGAAUGGCGGGGCCUCCCGACAGGAGCAAACCGUGCGGUGUGGACUGCAUGCAGUGCUCACUGUUGCGGUGAACUCGUGCCGGAGAGCGCCACUGGUGUGCCAGUGCUGC
rnacentral:rRNA from 1 species